GACGAGCGCUGGUGGCGUGCCUAAUACAUGCAAGUCGAGCGGACCAAUAGAAGCUUGCUUCUGUUGGUUAGCGGCGGACGGGUGAGUAACACGUGGGCAACCUGCCUGUAAGACUGGGAUAACUUCGGGAAACCGGAGCUAAUACCGGAUAAUUCAUCCCCUCGCAUGAGGGGAUGCUGAAAGUCGGUUUACGCUGACACUUACAGAUGGGCCCGCGGCGCAUUAGCUAGUUGGUGAGGUAAUGGCUCACCAAGGCGACGAUGCGUAGCCGACCUGAGAGGGUGAUCGGCCACACUGGGACUGAGACACGGCCCAGACUCCUACGGGAGGCAGCAGUAGGGAAUCUUCCACAAUGGACGAAGGUCUGAUGGAGCAACGCCGCGUGAGCGAUGAAGGCCUUCGGGUCGUAAAGCUCUGUUGUUAGGGAAGAACAAGUAUCGGAGUAACUGCCGGUACCUUGACGGUACCUAACCAGAAAGCCACGGCUAACUACGUGCCAGCCGCCGCUGUAA
rnacentral:rRNA from 1 species